rnacentral:rRNA from 1 species
AUUGAACGCUGGCGGCAGGCUUAACACAUGCAAGUCGAGCGGAGAUGAGGUGCUUGCACCUUAUCUUAGCGGCGGACGGGUGAGUAAUGCUUAGGAAUCUGCCUAUUAGUGGGGGACAACAUUCCGAAAGGAAUGCUAAUACCGCAUACGUCCUACGGGAGAAAGCAGGGGAUCUUCGGACCUUGCGCUAAUAGAUGAGCCUAAGUCGGAUUAGCUAGUUGGUGGGGUAAAGGCCUACCAAGGCGACGAUCUGUAGCGGGUCGGAGAGGAUGAUCCGCCACACUGGGACUGAGACACGGCCCAGACUCCUACGGGAGGCAGCAGUGGGGAAUAUUGGACAAUGGGGGGACCCCUGAUCUAGCCAUGCCGCGUGUGUGAAGAAGGCCUUAUGGUUGUAAAGCACUUUAAGCGAGGAGGAGGCUACUGAGACUAAUACUCUUGGAUAGUGGACGUUACUCGCAGAAUAAGCACCGGCUAACUCUGUGCCAGCAGCCGCCGUAA